CGGCCUAUCAGCUUGUUGGUGGGGUAAUGGCUCACCAAGGCGACGACGGGUAGCCGGCCUGAGAGGGUGACCGGCCACACUGGGACUGAGACACGGCCCAGACUCCUACGGGAGGCAGCAGUGGGGAAUAUUGCACAAUGGGCGGAAGCCUGAUGCAGCGACGCCGCGUGAGGGAUGACGGCCUUCGGGUUGUAAACCUCUUUCAGUAGGGAAGAAGCGAGAGUGACGGUACCUGCAGAAGAAGCGCCGGCUAACUACGUGCCAGCAGCCGCGGUAAUACGUAGGGCGCAAGCGUUGUCCGGAAUUAUUGGGCGUAAAGAGCUCGUAGGCGGUUUGUCGCGUCUGCUGUGAAAGCCCGGGGCUCAACCCCGGGUCUGCAGUGGGUACGGGCAGACUAGAGUGCAGUAGGGGAGACUGGAAUUCCUGGUGUAGCGGUGAAAUGCGCAGAUAUCAGGAGGAACACCGAUGGCGAAGGCAGGUCUCUGGGCUGUUACUGACGCUGAGGAGCGAAAGCAUGGGGAGCGAACAGGAUUAGAUACCCUGGUAGUCCAUGCCGUAAACGUUGGGCACUAGGUGUGGGGGACAUUCCACGUUUUCCGCGCCGUAGCUAACGCAUUAAGUGCCCCGCCUGGGGAGUACGG
rnacentral:rRNA from 1 species